CCGGGCACACAAGGCUUAUGUCUGCCUACCUGAUCAGGGUAAGCGCGCCCAUAACCUUCCCUCGCGGGAGGCACCGGCGAGAGGCAUGACAAUAGACCCAGCUAGGACCUUCCCACAAGGUAAAUGUGGUUGCACUGGAGAAAGCUCGAUUUGGUGGCACUAUGAUAUCCCAGUGAUGGCGGAGGAGGUUUGUUAUUAAGUCAUAUUAUUAAUUUCUCCACCAUCAUCAACAUUAUGAGCAUAUUAAACAAGAAUGCAACAAUGAACAUGCAACUAACAAAUGCAUUAACAAAUAUCAAGCUACCCUAGUGAACAGUUAUAGCAUAUGAAA